rnacentral:lncRNA from 1 species
CCGUAUCGAGUCCGAGGAGAAGAUGUUAGACAACAAGGGGAAUGGCCAAGUUAAGGCCAAAGCUAACUUGUUAGAGCGAGGCGGCCCGUUCAACUCCAAUAAACGAGGGCGUCCUAAUUCAAAGGACAAAGGCAAGGGAAUAGCACCCGCCCGUAAGUUUUAUGGCGAUACUUGGUGAAGGAUUGUGACGAAGUUGUCGUUCGAGCUUCGCACAAAUAAAUUUAUCAUGUGCCCACAACUAGGUUAGCUAGCAGUAAGUCCAAAGUCGAAUCCACAGGGAACUGAGCAAUAAUCUCUCCUGCAAGGGUGUCACUAAAAAGGAUUUUGUUCUUGAUGGUUCUUUCCACAACUUGCUUAUGGGCAGAACAGGGUUUCAGACCAAACUGAAAUCACAAAAAUAACUUGAUCAAAUAAUAAAACAAUUCUGACUUGGGUUUGAUUCACUAAACAUGAAUUAGGCACUCGAUCAUUGGUGCAAAGAUAAUUCACUACACUCGUAUACAAGUUGGUUAUAGAAAAAAGACAGCUACGCCCCUAUUGUCACGCGUCACGCACGUAACAGCCCUCUGCCCAAUCUAUCAUUUCAGUGUAUAAUCCCUUAGAAGUUAUCAGCUAAUGUGAAUUAACUACCCCAGGCAACAUUCACUGUCUACAUUGGCCUCACGCUAAGAGUGCUUUGCCCAAGAUGCAUUCGGAUUUAGAUAGACCCAACUUAACUAUUACGUGGAAUAUUUCACCACAGUCACGGCUCCAACACUCAUUGUACUCUCCAGAGGUCGAUGGUGUUUCGUCUUUACCCAGAGGUUACUUGUGGCCAGAACUACCUAGUGAUCAAUUAAUUAACCAAGUUGUCCAAACCGUAUUUUAAUUAAACCUAGUGUAUCGAAAAAUAAUCAUACUUAUUUGAUUUCAAAUCAAAAGGCUAACCACAGAACAAGAAAACAACGUUCGCCUUCCCCCCCCCCCCCCACACACACUUUACUUGGGCAAAGUGGGUAUGUAGAGGGGGUCGAAAAAUAGACUCUAAACUCACUUUGUAGCUAUCUUCACCAUCAUUGACUUGAUAUAACUUGAAAUCAUAUUCACCACUUAAAAGUGAAAAAGAGGCAAAAAAAGAUUUGAAGAAUUGUUUCUCAAAAUCUAUAUAAACAGUAAGUGUAUAUACCUUAGAAGCAUGUUUGAUAAUUCUAGGCACGGGUAAUGAUGAGACCGAUUGUGCUCUUGUACGUAGACGGUGGCGGCAUCGGCUUCUCAUCCGACGGUGGGAAAGAGCUUGAUGGGUCUUGACAUGAGAGAGGGGGAGUUGCCUAAGGUUUCAACGAGGGUGGGGCAUUACGUUUGCCAGUCGAAUAUCUUGACCUCCCACUCUCAGUACGCAUCCGGCACCACCGAUUCUGACAGCUCCACCACUUACCCCUUCGCCGUGAAAUCCUCAUCAAAUCUGUCCCAUUCUCUCGAUAUCUUUACAGCAAAUUCCACCCAACCUUCAAUUGACACACAAAUACAUGAUACUAAAUGAAUCAAUUGUUAAUUAAACAAAAUAGUAGGAGAAAAUCGACUCAAUUAUUGGUGGUUGUAGAUGUCGAAGCGAUGAAGUUUAUUAUAUAAACUUCACUUAGGGUGGCAACCAGGUUACUUAUUUAGGGUCACCUCUGUUCGUGGGCAGGCCCCGCGUCUCUCAUUUCGUUGGUAUCAAAGAUAGAAUUGUGCAUAAAUUCUCGAAAUGGGUGGGCUUGCACUUGUCUAUGGCUGGAUGUAUUUGUUUGGUCAAAUCCGUUAUACAAAGCUCAAUUAUUCACACUAUGAUGGUGUUUCGCUGGCCGAAAUCCCUUCUUUAUGAAUUGGAUCGUAAAUGCAAAAACUUCAUAUGGACUGGCAAGACGGAGCAGAAACCAUCUUAUCCUGUGAAAUGGAGUCGCUGUUGUGCUCCUAAAGCAGAAGGUGGUUGCGAAUCUGUUCAUUCACCCUGAUAACAAAAGAGCUACCUUAAGAAGGUGUGGAAUUUAAUUAAAGGGAGCUCUUUCGCUCAUAAUUUGCUUAGAUCGCAUUACUUGACUAUUAAUGGUUAUGCGAAGAGGAAUAUGGCUAACUCUUCCGUUUGGAUUGGUUUAAAACAUCAGAUUGAUGAGCUUGUUGAUAACUCCUACUCGGCGGUUGGAGAUGGUAGAUCCACAUUUUUUUUGGGUGGAUUACUGGUUGGGUUAUAGAUUGUGUGAUAGACUCUAGAUCCCUCAUUAUAUUCAUGGGUUUCUAGUACAAUUUGUCUCAGAUUACUUUUAUGAUGGGUGCUGGCAUUUCUCGGAAAUUUCGUGGAGAAAUUUCCUGAUAUAGCUAGUUUGCGAUAUUCGGCUUCUCCCGAUGUCUGACACUCCGGACGCUCGGUUUUGGAAAUCCUCCCUUUGUGGCGACGUCACCUCUGCUUUAGCUUUUGUUAAUAUUCAUCAUCGAUACCCUAAGGUCUCUGGGGAUCUUAGUUGUGGGAUCAGGCGAUUUCAAUACGACGGUCUUUAGUUUGUUGGCACCUCAUGGCCAGUUGCCUACUUUGGAUUGUUUGAUUCGGCAGGGACUUAUUGCUCCUAAUGUUUGCCUGAUAUGCCUCAAAGUGGCGGAGUCUAUCUCUCACAUUUUUUGGGAAUGCACAUAUGUUGCGUCGGUCUGGGAAACUUUCCUUAAUUGGUUUGGACAUUCUCAAUUGCUCCAAUGUCCUGAUAUUACUAAUAUUAUUGCGUUAGCUUUCUUAAAGCUACCUUUAAGGAAACAGAUGCUGGCAAUAAUAAGCUUGGGUAUAUGUCGAAUGCAUGGAAUGACUAUCUCACCCUCCGCAAUCUCGGCGUAGCCUCUUACCCGGCUCCCCCGCCGGACUAUAUCUCGGUCUAUUGGUGGCCUCCUGCCACGAGUUGGAUCAAGAUAAAUACUGAUGGGUCAGCUUUAGGAUCGCCAGGGUUUAUCUUCGCUGGUGGCGUCUUUCGCGAUCAUACGGCUAUGGUUUGUGGCUGCUUACAUAUCAAGGGCGGCUCUAGAUUUGCUUUUGAGGCAUAAUUACUUGUUGUAAUCACCGCUAUUGCCAUCGCUCAUGGUCUUGGUUGGUCUUGGUUGGCAUUGUUUGUGGCUCGAAGCUGACUCUUCCUACGUUGUGGAUUUGCUCCAACGUCGGUCUAUGGAUGUUCCAUGGCAUUUUCUUAUUUGUUGGAAAGAAACUUUGGCCCGUCUCCAAGACCUUACUUUUCGUGUGUCUCACAUUUACAGGUAGAGGAACACGGUGGCGGAUAUUAUGGCGCACCCUUCUCGUCAAGAAGACUGGUAGUCGAACAUCAUAUAUGUUAUUGAGGUUAUUGUGAUUAACGACAUGGUUUCUCAUGGCCAUACUCGUCGUAUUUGAUGCAUGGGGUGCUUCUUGUUUCGUUUUGUUCUUUUUUCAAACACCUAGAGUGCAGCUAUUGGAGAUGAUUUCUUGCUACUACGUUCUUGCUUUGGCUUUAUCUUGGUUUCGUUCGGUGCCUUUUUCAAACACAUAGCAUUUAGGCGGGAGUUGCUGGGCUUCUUGCUACUGCUGGGCGAUGGUCGGUGUUCUCAGCGUGACCCACGCUGGACAUGGCAUUGUUGGAGAGGAGCCUGCUCUUCCCUCCAUGUUUGGUUUUUGGGUGGUGUUUUUGGCGUUUUGUGUUGCUUGUUGUUUGUCGGCUGGGGCUUCCCCCUUUCCAUGCUUUGUGUAAUCGUUUUGUUUGUUUGUGUCCGGGUUGUGAAGGGCAAUGGUUAGGUUGGAGUUCCUAAAGGGUUCUCUCUCGCUUUCACUCCUGUUUCUUUCCUCCUUUGUCUUGUGAGACAGGUACUCUUUUUUCACUUUAAGCUCUUUCCCUCUGAGUUUUGCUUAAAGUGGUUUUAACGAGGCUCGGCCCUUAGUUUGCUCUUUGUGCUCUCAAGGGUUUUAGUUUGAUUCUCUUUUUCUCUUUUUUAUAUAAAACUUAAAUUUAAUUAUUUAAAUAAGUCAAAGCCUGCUUGACCCAACUGAAGAGAUCCAGCUGGAGUCCCAGACUGAUGGAAAAUUUUCAGCCUGAAGGAUUAGUAAUGUAGCUGAGUUGAUCGGGGUUUGUGCCAAAGCCACAUAACACGAGGACUUUGUUGUACUCAAUGUUAAGCUAAUGGAGCAGACUGACAGAAAGACAACAUGCUGACCCGUGCUCAGCUUCACUCAUGCCAUGUCAGCCCUUUGGUCGAUAGGCUCAAAGCAAAGUUAACCCCUAAAGCAUAUAUUUUUUCUGACAUUAAAUGCUUCUGAAUAUGUAUUAAAUUUGAAUCGCACUUUUCAGAUGUAAGUACAAGGAUGACUGUUGGACAUCAACAUCAGUACAGAUGUGUUGAUCUAUCAUCCCAAUCAUUCUUUGCUACAACGGAAAGAAUUGAAAGAGAAUAACAAUUAGAAAUUUGAAAAAUGCUCAGGCUAAAUUCAUUAUUUAGUUUAUAUACAUCGAAAGAACCAAACACAUGGUUGUGGUGAUGGUAAACAUGAAGUUGUUAUGUAUUGUUAAGAUAAAUCAUUAGCAACCAACAAACUAUCAUGAAUAGAAACUAGAUUUACAUUGUAAAUUUCAACUUCAUAACUUGUGAAUAUAUUUGUAGUUCCUAAACUAGGCGUUUUCAAUGUAAGGGGCCGUUUGAUUUGCAGUUUAGGAUUGAUUAGGAUUAAAAUUAUCUUGAGAAAUUAGUGUGGAUUUAUAUUAUUUCAUGGGUGUUUGAUAUCAUGGCUACUUAAUCUUAUAUUGUGUUUGAUAUCCAUAGGAUUAUGUUGGAUUAUAUUAUCUAAUACCAAAACUAUCCUCGUAUAAUUUUAAAAAUAUCAUGUGUGUCCACCAUUACUUGGGCAUUUGCAUCGAUAUGUGUGAGGAAUGGUAGCAGAAUUUUUAUCCAACUUCGCAGUAUUAUAGUUAUCCGAAGGGGGGAGGGGGGCAGAUUAUUAGUAUGGGUUAUUCCCACAAAAUAGCAUGUAGAAGUGGGAUUAAGUAGGAGUUGACCACAUUAAUAGAACAUGAUAUCAAACAUCACACUAACCUGUAUUAAUUUAAUUUAUCCUACCUAUAAACUCAUAUCAAACAGGCCCUAAACAUCCUAACCUUAGCUAGGAAUGGCAAUGGAUAUUGGACCCAGCCCACAUCCGUGGAUUCAGAUCCGUUUUUCAAGAACUGGAUCUCAAAAUUUUGACCCGAUGGAUGUGGGCUAGAUUUGGAUCUCAAUUUAUAAAACGGAUCUGGAUCCGAAUCUUGAAUUUUUAGAUUCGGUUCGGCCCCAAAUCUGACUCGUGGACCCAUUUUUUAAUAUAUAUUAUUAUAUUUUAUAUUUACUUUUUUUAAUAAUAUAAAACAUAAAGUUAAAUAUUAAAAAUCAACAAUAAUACUAAUACUUUACACAAUAUAAAUAUCAAACAUAAAUACAAAUAUAUAAAAUAUAAACAAAUAUUAAAAAUCAAUAUAGCAUUAGAUCCGCGGAUCUGACAAAUAUUGAUCUGGAUCACAAAUUUUCAGACCCGUCGAAUUUGGGUUGGAUCUAGAUCUCUAAAAAUAAAAAGGAUCUGAAUCUAAUACUUAUAAGAUCCAAUUUAAAUUCGACCCAUUGUCAUCCCCGGCCCUAGCACUGAACAAACUUAUACCCCUUUUCAUUAUAGCUAAGUUAAGAGACAUUUUGAACUUAGAAGUUAUGCUAAUUCACGUCGGAUAAAGAAAAUGAUUUAUUUUAAAUUCCAACAAAAUGAUUUACUAAGCCACUGAAAUUUAUUUACAGUUCACAUAAUUCAAUCUUGAGUGAUUUUAAUUGUCAAAUCCUCACUCACCUCACUCACAUUUCCAUCAAAAGCUACACUCCUACAUUUAACUGUUUUUAGCCAUAUACUUGGCACUUGGCUGACCAAUCUCCAAGUUCCAGCAAAUUUCAUUCACAAGGUUCCUAGCUUAACUCAUUCCAAUUACAAUCUUUUUCUCAAGUACUCCCUCUGUCCCACUCCAAAUGUUCCAUUUUCUAUUUUGGGUUGUCCCACUCCAAAUGUCUCAUUCCUUUUUGUACAAUACACUCUCUCUCUAUACUUAAUAUUUAAAUAAUUUCCAACAACCCACUUUAUCUACUUUAUACCCACUUUAUCUACUUUAUACAAAUUUCUUAAUCUCCGUGUCCAAAAGAAAUGAGACAUUUGGAGCGAGACGGNACCGGCGAACUCUCGGUGAGCUUCAGGCCCCCGACAACCCAUUAGCUCGGGUGUCCAAUUCCACAGGGCACCGGAGCCGUGUUGUGGAGGAGCGCGGGGACGAGGAGGAUGUACCUAGACAGCCUCGUACGACUCGCAGUCACAGUGUCCGGGGCCCUGUGAGGGAUGCUCGACAGCACGAGCCGGCUCGUCAUUCAGUAGAUCCGGGCUCGCGCCCUGUGAGGGAUGCUCGACCCCACGAGCCGGCUCGUCAUUCAGUAGAUCUGGGCAAGCGCCCAGCGCCGCAUACUUCUUCAUCGUCGAGCGGAUCUCGGACUGUAUCCAGUCCCAGCGAGGGUGAGUUGGUCUAGCUGAAAUACUCGACAUUCGCAUUUUUUCUUCUCUAGAUCCACCUUGAAGCUUCUGUCAGCAGUUUGCACCUUAUACUUCAUGCCACUCAACCUUUGUGCAGUGUAUCGACGACUUUUUUGGACUUCAAUAGCUACCCUUUUACCAGCCUCAACAGUCAAGCCUUGCUCGAUUUGUUGUGCAGCCCUUAGUCGCUCGCUGAACCAUUUCUCAAUAACAAUUCUGAUUGCCUCUAACAUCGAGCAUAUAGGAAGUCUUCUUGCCCACAACAAUCUGGAAUUAAAAGCUUCAGCAGCAUUUGAUGUCAUAAAUGUUGAUUUGCUCGAUAUGCACCAUAUCGAGUAGAUACGGACGAGAAGAUGUCAGAGCUGUUUUGCUCUGGACUAAACAAGAGAUACGAGUUGUCUUGGCGAGUCAGAGUGCGCUGUCAUAUGCUGAAGCUUUAAAUCGAGCACUGGAUAUGGAACUGGCAAUGCAGCCAGAAAAGACGAGUCAAAUUUCUGUACCUCAGUCGAACCCGAACCCUCAAAGGGGAAAUCAACCUUUUUUCAGGACAGGGACAGAAACCAUUGAGACAUUUCAAGUGGGACGUAGUGCGUCCGUCCCACUCCAAAUGUUCCAUUUUCUAUUUUGGGUUGUCCCACUCCAAAUGUCUCAUUCCUUUUUUGACAAUACACUCUCUCUCUAUACUUAAUAUUUAAAUAAUUUCCAACAACCCACUUUAUCUACUUUAUACCCACUUUAUCUACUUUAUACAAAUUUCUUAAUCUCCGUGUCCAAAAGAAAUGAGACAUUUGGAGCGAGACGGAGGGAGUAUUAUUUAUGCAAAACUUCAAUUGGAGAACCCACACAUACAUCAUCCCAUACAUUUGUAUAACAGUUUAUUUAUAUCAAUAGUCAUGCACACAACUGUGUAUACUUAUGAAUGAAAGCAUGAUUUAUGUAAAAAAAAAAGAGAAGUUGAGUUGAAGCUUUGAUUUUUAACCUUUAUUUUUUAACCGCGAUGUCUGAGUCGGGUUGCGGCCUCUGUUUGUGUUGGUGUGUCUUGGUGGAGUCGGUNGUCU